rnacentral:lncRNA from 1 species
UUCUUUUCAUAGCACAAACGUUAUUUUUAUAGCAUCUUAAUGUAUCCACCUACUUACUUUUAUAAUAUGCUUAAUUGUGUCAUAAAGAGGGGGGUAAUUAGUAAAGCUGCAACAAAACUAUUAUAGAAGGAGAAAAUGGGUAGGAGGAGAUGAUAAGACAUGAAAAUUUUUGUGUAUUCGUAUUUUUUUUGGGUCUAUUUAUUAUGUCAUAAUUUAAAAUAUUUUAUAAGCAUAUAAAUUUCGAUAGGUGAAUACUUUAUAUAAUAUGAUUUUUAAAAUAAUAUUGUAUCAUGCUUUGUAUUAUAUUUUAAUUAUUUUUUGUGUUCCAUGUUGAAUAGUGCUGUCUAAUGAUGAUGGUGAUGGAUAGGGUAAUGCAUUGAUUCCCAGUGAGAACAAGAUUACAAGUGUAGAUGUUGGAUGGAGCAGAGGAAACAUUUUCAGUGAACAACAAUAUCCGGUUGUCUUCAGGCUUGGUCACUAUAACGAUUUGAAAGUAAGUGGUAAUAAAAAAAAAUGUAAUUCUGAAAUUUCAUUUUUAUAAAUUAAAUUCGUAAAUAUUUAUUGAGUUUUUAAAAAGAUGAAUUGAAGUUUGAAUAAAUAAUUUUAUCGAAUUAGUGAUUAGUUAGGGCUUAAAUAUUAAAUUGUAAAGAUUUACAAAUAUAAAUUUUUAAUUGACCAAAUGUGAGAGGACUUAUUUAGCAAUUAAAUCAAGGAUUAAAAUGAUAAAUAUACCGUCUUAAAAUGAUAGUGGACGGGUAGGUGAGUUAAAUUGUUUAAAUAUUAUUAACAUUGAAUUAAAUAAAGUAUAUAUAACAUAAGUAAAGUAAAACAUCAUAUUGGAAAUAAAGAGAAAACAUAGUUUGUAUCACCUCUUCAACACUGAAAAUUAGAAGGUAAAGGAGAAGAUCAUUCGGCCAAGGUUUUCAAAGCUUGGUUAGUUUAAUUUAGUCCAUUCCUUAUAAUUUUUAUAUUUUUGAGGUUAUAAGAACUUAAUUUAACUAGUUCAUGUAUCAAUUUGUAAAAUUGUUAAAGUUUUAAAAAGUUACCAUUGUUGAUUUCUUGAAGUUUUAGGUAUUAAAUUGAUAGAUUUUAAGCUUAGAUGUGAAAAGAGCUAAAUUGUGAAGUUAAUUGAUAAUUUCAUACUGUCGAAACCAUUUUUUUUAAAAACGGGGAUUGACUUCAUAUUUUGAAAAGAAAACGAAAAUUGAAAGUCGCCACCAAUCUUUUUUGUUUAGGUGUGAUCGGAUCACCAAGAAGUGUGGUCAUUUUAAUAAAACAUUUUGGUUUACUAAAACAACGAUUUUGGUCUACGAAAUUUGAGAAAAACGGAUUCGGGAGUCAGUUACGUGAGAGGAAGGAUUAGCACCCUCGUAACGCCCAAAAUUGGUACCUAAUUGAUUAAUUAAUGUCUUAAUGUCGAAAAUUGAAAAGAUUUAAAAAUAAAUUUUGAAAUACGAUCCUUUUUUCGAAUGUUUGGAUAACUUGAAGUGGAUAUUAAUAUUCUCUUUUUUUCGAAGAAGUAAAAUAUCACAUCCAACACGUAGGACACGACAUUUCAAACCUUCGAUACCCAAAAUCAUCUCAUGAUUUCUAAAACUCAUGCAUUGAAAUUUUUUAAAAUGAUAUUCGGUUGUUUGGUCAAACGGUAAAUUGAAACCCAACACGUAGGACACGUUUUCUUGGAUUCCCAAACGUUGAACAUUGCCUUGUUUUAGAAUUUAGAAAACAUGAGUGAAAUGCUAAAGGAAUAUUCGAUUAUUUGAACAAACGGGAAAUUACAACCCAGCACAAUAGAGUACGAUUCCCCGAAUUUUCAAACUUCGAACGUUGCCUUCGUUUUAAAGAAUUUUUAAAACAUGAGUGAAAUUCCAAAGGAAUAUUCGAUCAUUUUGAACAAACGAGAAAUUGCAACCCAGCACGAUAGGGCACGAUUCCUUGAAUUUCUAAACAUCAAAAAUCGCUUUUGUUUUAAGGUUUAGAAAAAGCGAACGAAAUUUUAAAGGGAAAUUCGAUUAUUUAAACGAACGAAAGAUCGAAACCCAACACAUUAGGGCACGAUCUAUCGAAUUGCUAAACACCAAACUUCGCCUUUGUUUUAUAAAGUCGACCCAAAAUACAUUAAUUUGACUUGGAAUGAAAUAGAAUCAUGAAUUUCGGAUCAAUAAAUUGAAAAUUACAAUGCAACAAUUACGAAUGAAAGGCGAAAUUACAAACAUGGAACAAUAUAUAUGGAUAAAAUACUAUACAAAUGAGUGACAAUAGUAUGAAAAUAAGUGAACGAAUUAUAGCACACACAAUGACAUUUCUACUCAACAUACAUUAUUUAAAUAUUAAUAAAUAAAGUGAAAUGUAAUGAAUAAUACAAACAAUAAAAAAUAGGCAAUAAGAUGAUUCUAGAAGAAUAAUAUGUAGAAAAAAC